UGAAGCGGUACUUCCCAUAUAUAGCUUUAUAUAGUGCACGUAUUGCUAUUUUCCGGAUUUUCUGUUCCAGUGCCGACAACAAACGUUUACAAAUUUAAAAUUUAACUGUUCCCGAUGACCAACGAACAUAAUCCGAUGCAAUUCUGGAACCAGUAACCGGAAGUUUUAUUUACCGCCAUGCUGUAAACAAAGACAAAGGAAACGUACAAACUAAAGAAUAACCUUAUCAUGCGUUAAAACUGGAUCAAUUAGCAGUGCCAAAAUUAAGGAUAUUCAAGAUAUGCAGAAGUAUAUAAGCUUAGAAAUGAUUCAAACCAUCCUGGAGGAGCGGAGCAAAUUUUGUGAAGAAGCCAGUAGAUGUCAAAAGAAAUAAAAAGAAUGGAACAAAAGGAAAAUUGAAAAAGAACAGUG